AUGUCCCUACGUAGACCUCCGGUUCCCACGCGCCGUGCGCACCCACCUGACGACUGCUCGCUACGUUUUGUUAGCC
rnacentral:sRNA from 1 species